UGGCGGACGGGUGAGUAAUGUCUGGGAAACUGCCUGAUGGAGGGGGAUAACUACUGGAAACGGUAGCUAAUACCGCAUAACGUCGCAAGACCAAAGAGGGGGACCUUCGGGCCUCUUGCCAUCGGAUGUGCCCAGAUGGGAUUAGCUAGUAGGUGGGGUAACGGCUCACCUAGGCGACGAUCCCUAGCUGGUCUGAGAGGAUGGCCAGCCACACUGGAACUGAGACACGGUCCAG
rnacentral:rRNA from 1 species